AGUCAGUAUUACAAGGGUCUUCUGAGAAAACUAGAGCCGACUUUUUCCUUGAGGCUUUAACGUUAAGCAAAUUUUCUCACAAAAAUAUAGUUGAGUUUUUGGGAGUUUCACUAGAGAAAAAUUAUAUUUUGUUAGUUUUGGAAUAUAUGUCAGGAGGAGAUUUGAAGACAUACUUAAAACGGUUAAGAACAGAUGUGAGACAUAGCAGCACGUAACUGUUUAUUAACGUCGAGACAGACAGAUAUGAUU